UGGCGAACGGGUGAGUAACGCGUGAGGAACCUGCCUCAAAGGGGGGGACAACAGUUGGAAACGACUGCUAAUACCGCAUAAGCCCACGGCUCGGCAUCGAGCAGAGGGAAAAGGAACAAUCCGCUUUGAGAUGGCCUCGCGUCCGAUUAGCUAGUUGGCGAGGUAACGGCCCACCAAGGCGACGAUCGGUAGCCGGACUGAGAGGUUGAACGGCCACAUUGGGACUGAGACACGGCCCAG
rnacentral:rRNA from 1 species